rnacentral:tRNA from 1 species
GCCCGGGUGGCGGAAUAGGUAGACGCAAGGGACUUAAAAUCCCUCGAGUGCAAGCUUGUGCCGGUUCGAGUCCGGCCCCGGGCACCA